CAACAAUUUUGUAUUUGUCCUAAAGUUAGAUCUUCUUUGAGUGACUCCUUCAAUUUCAGCCAUCAUUCUCCUCUAGCUGUAUCAAUAAGCUGCUGCUUCUUACUUGAUGCUUUUCUCCAUGACUGUGACCUUCACCAAGGGCCACUGCUUACCAGCUGCAGGUCACUUCCUGAGAGCCCUCCACCAAGUCCCCGAAAGAAGGUACUACCAGCUCCAUAUGGGUCUCAACAGGGAGGGAAGAUGCUCCCUUUAGAGUCUUUGUAUUCUGUUGACUUUCUCUCAAAGUUCCAUGGUAAAUCAGACUCUACUGAACAGUUGGAGUUAAGCAAUGAGGAUCAAAAUGUGGGAGGGGAAAAAUUAAAACAUAAUGCCCAAUAGGACUGGGCUUACAGUCCAGGAGAAAAGCAGACUCAACUUAAACCUUUCACAGGGAGCUCACCUGGAAAAUGCACCUCAAUGCUUAGCCGAGCUCCCUCCCCUCAGAUGAGUCCUCCUCACAUGGAACUUCUUUGCACAUCCACAGUGGGACUCAGUACUGGAGCCACUGCAGGGAAAGUGCUGUUUACCCUCUAACUCAUCCUUCCUUAAGAGUCACACUUUCCUAGGAUUUCAGUAACACAAGCAAAGCUCUUCUCAAAAUCUGAGUUAAUCAACCAAAAAUUAUGCAGUAGGAGAGGAGGGUCGUGGCUUCACCAGGAUAGUCCCAGGUGAGCUGUGGUACUUUAGGUCCAAUCUUGACAGGGUAAGGGGACGAUAUCUCCCUUUCCCUCCUUAUUCUCCAGGCGACAACCAAUGGAACACACACACACACACACACACACACACACACACACACAUCCAACUUGCAUAUUUUCCCAAAGCCCAGCACGAACGAAACUGUUUCCUAAAGUAUGAUCUAGGACACAUGCAAAGCUGUAUUUUAGAUGUGUUCAUCUUCUAGCCCCUUCAUCUUUCCAAAGGCCUCUUGGAGCAUAAGGAAUGAGGCCAAUUAGAGCAGAGCCACCAGGCCCUAAAUGGCCACCCUCUGUCCACAUAAAAUCCAGCCCUGAGUUUGAGAGAGCCUGUUGACCCAAUCCUGUUCUUCAGUGGGGCAUCAUCUCCAUACUCUUAUCUGUAGGAGGAAGAGAGGCCAGGGGUGUGGGGAUGGGCAUUUUCCUGAGCAGCUUCACCAGUGGGUCACACAGGGGUUAGUUAUGUAAGCUCUGCUGAUUUGUAAUGAUAGUGAGUCCAGGAUUAUAUUAAUAGAAUUCAUAAUUCCACUGGGCUUGUUCCAAAUCUUUUUGAACUUUCAUCUCUCUAACUAGACAUUAUUUUUAAAGACUUUUUAAAAAAAAUCAGCUAAAAGCCUUCUCUCCUCUCUCUAUCACUUUGGUCAUCCUUAUAUAUCUACACAUAGCUCCCAAAUGUUCACCUGCAGGCUUGGUCCAGCUGCCAAGAUGUCCCAUUCUGGCCACUGCUUAAGGUAACAGUUUCUAAGUGUUCACUGCAUUUAGUUUUGUCUCAUCUCACCUCUUGACUUCAAGAGUUGACCCUUAAGUUUCCCAGGAGUUUGAUACAAUCAGCCCAUACCCAUCCGAACUGAAAUUCUGGCAGAUUUAUAUUUUUAAAA
rnacentral:lncRNA from 1 species